rnacentral:rRNA from 1 species
AACGAACGCUGGCGGCAUGCCUAACACAUGCAAGUCGAACGAGACCUUCGGGUCUAGUGGCGCACGGGUGCGUAACGCGUGGGAACCUGCCCUUAGGUUCGGAAUAACUCCCCGAAAGGGGUGCUAAUACCGGAUAAUGUCUUCGGACCAAAGAUUUAUCGCCUUUGGAUGGGCCCGCGUUGGAUUAGCUAGUUGGUAGGGUAAAAGCCUACCAAGGCGACGAUCCAUAGCUGGUCUGAGAGGAUGAUCAGCCACACUGGGACUGAGUCACGGCCCAGACUCCUACGGGAGGCAGCAGUGGGGAAUAUUGGACAAUGGGCGAAAGCCUGAUCCAGCAAUGCCGCGUGAGUGAUGAAGGCCUUAGGGUUGUAAAGCUCUUUUACCCGGGAUGAUAAUGACAGUACCGGGAGAAUAAGCGCCGGCUAACUCCGUG